GAUAUCUUCAUCUUGCAGAAGUAUAGAGCACGGAAGUGAGAUGUUGAACAUCAAUCACGUGCAUAGAAAGAUGCAGAGCUUGGAGUUGAACCCAAGUAUCUGAUGGGGAGUCUCAAGACAGAAGAAGAUCUUGACGUGAGUCCAGGGGCCUGAAGGCUGAUGGGCAUUUCCUGCACACCUGGGGAUUCCAAGGGCAAUGAUCUGCAUAGCCCUCCUGGGGUCCACGCAGCGGCUCACCUGGAUGGAUUGCCCCUCCUGUGCGGCUCUGGGCACUUCUGCUCUGCUGGACCAUGAAAUACCAAACUGAACUUGACCUUGAACAGGCUUUCGGUUUUCAACUGGAUAUGAAAACCACUUAAGAAUCAUAUGUGAGUCAAUUUGAUGGAAAGAGAAGAAACAUUUAAAAUUUCUAAGUCCUCUCUGAAUUGCUAGACGCUCAUUCAGCAAUUCAGGGAUGCAGCCCUGGAUAUACAAUGACUUGAGUAAUUGGUAUUGCUAUAGAGGGAACCUAACUUCUUUGUGUCAAUACUAUGCAAUCCUCCCUCAAGUGCUGGCCUGCAUCGCCAC